UCCACCAUUAUGACCUCAUCUAAUCCUAGUUACCUCCCAAAGGCCUGACCUACUUAAACCAUCACAUUGAGGAAACUACUGUGGCCAUGUUACUACCUAUGCUUGAAGCUAACACUAAGAAUUGCAGAUCACAGAUGGAAAGAAUCUGGAUCUCAACCACAUCACUGAACGGUGGACUCAGCCACACCCCUGAACAAUUUGCAGAAGGUAACACUGCACAACUACUACAGAGCAAGUUAAGUCAAUCUGCAAAGAAGAAAUGAACUAUAGCCUGCUGAGGAGUAUGUGAUGUACUGCAGACCACACCAAUCUGUGCUUGUGAGUGACUGUCAAUAUACAAACCUGAAAUAAUU